CCUUCUUUUAAGUAUGUGCCAAGCUUGAAAUUGCAACACCAAACUAUCAAAAAGAGCCAAAAAAAAAAAAAUUACAAAGAGCCAAAAAAGUCAAAUGAACAAAAGAGCUGUGUUUACCGUCUUGUACUUCUGUUACUGAGAAAAAGAAGAUGGUGUGUUAAAAUCAUCUGAAAUGAAGCCAUGAAGAAAAUGUUAAUUAAAUGAAAGCAUCUGAAAUACAUCUGGCAGUUUAUCAAAUACAGUAUCCUGCUUUGUUAAAGCACAGGUAGCCAAGGCCAUGCUGUGACUGUAAUGCCUCUGCAAGCCCUCUGCCUGACGGCACUGAAACUCAUCUCAGAUCUCAAUGGCCUGUGUUAUUAUCAGAAGUCGUCCUCGAUUCCUUCAACCGUAAGAAAUUGCCUCAUCCACCCUAGCCUGAAUUGCUAUACUGCUUGAUCUAGACUUCUAGCCAGUCAUUUCUAGCUACCGUGAGUUAUAAUUAUUUAUAUAAAUGUUCUAAUUAGAUUAUCUACUAGGUGGUAAAGUUCUCCAAGGCAAGGCUUCUCAUUCAUUUUUGUUCGUACAACCUAAAAGAGCAUAGCACUAUUACUUAUUGGGUAAUAGUUCAAACUCUA
rnacentral:lncRNA from 1 species